CGGCGGACGGGUGAGUAACGCGUGGGUAACCUACCCUGUACACACGGAUAACAUACCGAAAGGUAUGCUAAUACGGGAUAAUAUAUUUGAGAGGCAUCUCUUAAAUAUCAAAGGUGAGCCAGUACAGGAUGGACCCGCGUCUGAUUAGCUAGUUGGUAAGGUAACGGCUUACCAAGGCGACGAUCAGUGGCCGACCUGAGAGGGUGAUCGGCCACAUUGGGACUGAGACACGGUCCAA
rnacentral:rRNA from 1 species